UACGAAGGGGGCUAGCGUUGUUCGGAUUUACUGGGCGUAAAGCGCACGUAGGCGGAUUGUUAAGUCAGGGGUGAAAUCCUGGAGCUCAACUCCAGAACUGCCUUUGAUACUGGCAAUCUAGAGUCCGGAAGAGGUGAGUGGAACUCCUAGUGUAGAGGUGGAAUUCGUAGAUAUUAGGAAGAACACCAGUGGCGAAGGCGGCUCACUGGUCCGGUACUGACGCUGAGGUGCGAAAGCUAGGGGAGCAAACGGG
rnacentral:rRNA from 1 species